rnacentral:sRNA from 1 species
UCAAGCCAUGCACAAGUAGGUUUCCUGCCAGCAUCCCCUCCCCACUUCUCUUCCUAUGACCAUCCCUCUUAAUUCCCUUCUGUCUCUCCUCAGCGGCCCGCCUAAGUCCAGUGCCUCCCAAGCAGGGGCUGCAGCGGGGCAGGGAGCCCCCGCCCCUGCCCCCGCCUCCCAAGAGCCCCUUCCCAUAGCUGGACCAGGUGGGACAGGGAUUUUGGGAGGAGGAUGGGGCCUGUGUUGGUGAGGGCUGGUUGGGAGAGAGGGACACAGAGGGGAUGCCUGUCUCACCUGCCCCUGUCGCUGUGUCCCUGGUUCCGGCCCCAGCGACAGCACCUGCUCCACGGCCACUUGGCUCCAUUCAGAGACCAAACAGCUUCCUCUUCCGUUCCUCCUCUCAGAGUGGCUCAGGUGGGUGUCCUGCCCUCCCCAGUGCUGACCCAGUGCUUGCCAGCACCAACUGCUACAUCACCCUUCUGCCCUGGGAGCCCUCUGGGUCUGUUGUACCUUUGCGUUGAAAAUCCCACAAGCAAGCCGGGUGUGGUGGCUCACACCUGUAAUCGCAGCACUUUAGGAGGCCCAGGUGGGAGGAUCGCUUGAGCCCAGGAAUUCAAGACCAGCCUGGGCAACAUAGCGAGACCCCAUCUCCAUGAAAUAAAAAAAAAUCCCACAAGCAGAGAGGCAGGAGGUGUAGGUGCCAGGCCACUGGGACCCAGCUACAGAGUCAGUGGUGAGCAGUGGAGGCAGCCCCAUGCCCCCCUUUUUCUCCUAGGCCCUUCCUCACCAGACUCUGUCCUGAGACCUCGGCGGUACCCCCAGGUUCCAGAUGAGAAGGACUUAAUGACUCAGCUGCGCCAGGUCCUUGAGUCCCGGCUGCAGCGGCCCCUGCCUGAGGACCUGGCCGAGGCUCUGGCCAGUGGGGUCAUCCUGUGCCAGCUGGCCAACCAGCUACGGCCGCGCUCCGUGCCCUUCAUCCAUGUGCCCUCCCCUGCUGUGCCAAAACUCAGUGCCCUCAAGGCUCGGAAGAAUGUGGAGAGUUUUCUAGAAGCCUGUCGAAAAAUGGGGGUGCCUGAGGCUGACCUGUGCUCGCCCUCGGAUCUCCUCCAGGGCACUGCCCGGGGGCUGCGGACCGCGCUGGAGGCCGUGAAGCGGGUGGGGGGCAAGGCCUUACCGCCCCUCUGGCCCCCCUCUGGUCUGGGCGGCUUCGUCGUCUUCUACGUGGUCCUCAUGCUGCUGCUCUAUGUCACCUACACUCGGCUCCUGGGUUCCUAGGCCCCAAAAUCGGCCCUCCCUCACCCCUUUCCCUUCCUCUCUAUUUAUAAGGUCCCUGCUCCACCCGACCCCACCUGCGGUGCCUUCAGCCCCAACCAAAGACACUAGUGCACCCCCUUCACAGACACUGACCUCAGAGGCCCCACUCUGGUGCCCCCAGACCCUGGGCCCCCAGCCUCUGGCCUCCCUCCAGUAGCCCCACGAGUCCCCACCUCUCAGUGCUGACGGUGCCUUCAUGUCCCCGCCGGCCCUGCCCCUGCCCUCUGUACCCCGUGAGGGGUGGCAGGAGCUGGAGUCUCCCCCUUCCUCCUGUGCCCUCCCCUUCCCCCCCCAACAGCUGCUAUGGGGGGGCUAAAUUAUCUCUAUUUUGUAGAGAGGAUCUAUAUUUGUAGGGGUUC